rnacentral:lncRNA from 1 species
AAGAUUAUAUUCCAAUUUCUUCUUUUGUUUCUUGUUAAAUGGUUUUAAAUGGUUUGUUUUUUCCCCAUUGGUAGGUAAACGACUUUCUCCUGUCUGCAGUAUUUUUGUUUGAUGAUGAAGGUCUGAAGUUUGAUUGCUAUGUUUCUUGGCCAUCUAUUAAGGGUAACGUCGUUGAACUUAAGGGGUGAAUUUUGUGGACUAAAAAUAGAAGCCAUAUUUUCAUUUUUAAGGGAAUAUAUCUAGCAGUGGGAUCACUGACUCAAAGGGAAUUCAUCAUAAAUUUUAAAUAAAUAAGCAAAGGCCCUGAGUGAGUAAAAUACU